rnacentral:rRNA from 1 species
GAUGAACGCUGGCGGCGUGCCUAAUACAUGCAAGUCGAGCGAAUGGAUUAAGAGCUUGCUCUUAUGAAGUUAGCGGCGGACGGGUGAGUAACAUGUGGGUAACCUGCCCAUAAGACUGGGAUAACUCCGGGAAACCGGGGCUAAUACCGGAUAACAUUUUGAACCGCAUGGUUCGAAAUUGAAUGGCGGCUUCGGCUGUCACUUAUGGGUGGACCCGCGUCGCAUUAGCUAGUUGGUGAGGUAACGGCUCACCAAGGCAACGAUGCGUAGCCCACCUGAGAGGGUGAUCGGCCACACUGGGAAUGAGACACGGCCCAGACUCCUACGGGAGGCAGCAGCAGGGAAUCUUCCGCAAUGGACGAAAGUCUGACGGAGCAACGCCGCGUGAGUGAUGAAGGCUUUCGGGUCGUAAAACUCUGUUGUUAGGGAAGAACAAGUGCUAGUUGAAUAAGCUGGCACCUUGACGGUACCUAACCAGAAAGCCACGGCUAACUACGUGCCAGCCGCCGCGGUAA